rnacentral:miRNA from 1 species
CCACCUUGCUCCAAUCAGCAGCAGACCCUCCCUCCCAGACCCUUCCACCUCCUGGACAGCAUCCAUUUUACAUUCAUUGUGAAGCUGCAUUCUUAGUGAGCUGUCCAGGAGGUGGGAGGGUCUGGGAGGGAGGGUCUGCUGCUGAUUGGCUGGAAUGU